rnacentral:rRNA from 1 species
UACGUAGGGUGCAAGCGUUGUCCGGAAUUAUUGGGCGUAAAGAGCUCGUAGGCGGUCUGUCGCGUCGGAUGUGAAAAUCCAGGGCUUAACCCUGGGCCUGCAUUCGAUACGGGCAGACUAGAGUUCGGUAGGGGAGACUGGAAUUCCUGGUGUAGCGGUGAAAUGCGCAGAUAUCAGGAGGAACACCGGUGGCGAAGGCGGCUCUCUGGGACGGUACUGACGCUGAGACGCGAAAGCGUGGGGAGCGAACAGG